rnacentral:rRNA from 1 species
GAUGAACGCUGGCGGCGUGCCUAAUACAUGCAAGUCGAGCGAACAGACGAGGAGCUUGCUCCUCUGACGUUAGCGGCGGACGGGUGAGUAACACGUGGAUAACCUACCUAUAAGACUGGGAUAACUUCGGGAAACCGGAGCUAAUACCGGAUAAUAUAUUGAACCGCAUGGUUCAAUAGUGAAAGACGGUUUUGCUGUCACUUAUAGAUGGAUCCGCGCCGCAUUAGCUAGUUGGUAGGGUAACGGCUUACCAAGGCAACGAUGCGUAGCCGACCUGAGAGGGUGAUCGGCCACACUGGAACUGAGACACGGUCCAGACUCCUACGGGAGGCAGCAGUAGGGAAUCUUCCGCAAUGGGCGAAAGCCUGACGGAGCAACGCCGCGUGAGUGAUGAAGGUCUUCGGAUCGUAAAACUCUGUUAUUAGGGAAGAACAAAUGUGUAAGUAACUAUGCACGUCUUGACGGUACCUAAUCAGAAAGCCGCGGCUAACUACGUG